UACAGAGGUGGCAAGCGUUGUUCGGAAUUACUGGGCGUAAAGGGCGCGUAGGCGGCCUUCUAAGUCAGACGUGAAAUCCCCCGGCUUAACCUGGGAACUGCGUCUGAUACUGGGAGGCUUGAGUAUGGGAGAGGGAUGUAGAAUUCCAGGUGUAGCGGUGAAAUGCGUAGAUAUCGGUAGGAACAUCAGUGGCGAAAGCGGCUUCCUGGUCCAGCACCGACGUUCAGGCACGAAAGCGUGGGGAGCAAACAGG
rnacentral:rRNA from 1 species